rnacentral:rRNA from 1 species
GACGAACGCUGGCGGCGUGCUUAACACAUGCCAGUCGAACGGAAAGGCCCUGCUUGCAGGGUGCUCGAGUGGCGAACGGGUGAGUAACACGUGGGUGAUCUGCCCCUUACUUUGGGAUAAGCCUGGGAAACUGGGUCUAAUACUGGAUAGGACCAUGCUGUAGGUGGUGUGGUGGAAAGAUUAGUUUCGGUAAGGGAUGAGCUCGCGGCCUAUCAGCUUGUUGGUGGGGUAAUGGCCUACCAAGGCGUCGACGGGUAGCCGGCCUGAGAGGGUGGACGGCCACAUUGGGACUGAGAUACGGCCCAGACUCCUACGGGAGGCAGCAGUGGGGAAUAUUGCACAAUGGGCGCAAGCCGGAUGCAGCGACGCCGCGUGGGGGAUGACGGCCUUCGGGUUGUAAACUCCUUGCAGCCAUGACGAAGCCCUUGUGGUGACGGUAGUGGUAGAAGAAGCACCGGCUAACUACGUG